rnacentral:rRNA from 1 species
UGGGGGAUAUUGCACAAUGGGCGAAAGCCUGAUGCAGCGACGCCGCGUGGGGGAUGAAGGCCUUCGGGUUGUAAACUUCUUUUGCUCUGAACAAGGCAUGCUAAUGGGUGUGUUGAGUGUAGGGGUUGAUUAGCGCCGGCUAACUACGUGCCAGCAGCCGCGGUAAUACGUAGGGCGCGAGCGUUGUCCGGAAUUAUUGGGCGUAAAGGGCUUGUAGGUGGCUGGUUGCGUCUGUCGUGAAAGCUCAUGGCUUAACUGUGGGUUUGCAGUUGGUACGGGCUGGCUUGAGUGCAGUAGGGGAGGCUGGAAUUCCUGGUGUAGCGGUGGAAUGCGCAGAUAUCAGGAGGAAUACCGGUGGCGAAGGCGGGUCUCUGGGCUGUUACUGACACUGAGGAGCGAAAGCAUGGGGAGCGAACAGG